ACAAUGGUCCCACAUCUGUUUUUCAACAGCAAAUAGUUUAGGACAAAGUUUAAUCUACUUGGACGAAAGGAUUGGUUGACCUUGGCAUGGAAACCUGCCGCCAUUUCUCACACAACACAUAGAGAUGGAACUAGCUGUGGAGUCCUUGUCAUGGAUGUGAAAUGGCAAGACAAAUCAUCCAAAGCUUUCCUGCAAUUCCAAAGCAACUGAAUAUCGAUUCUCAACGCCAAAACAUUGCACGUCUAAGAGAAAAAAUGGCCGAGGAGAUGCUUCUUGCAUCAGAGUCCAAAAUGGAUUUCUGCUCUCAAUAUGGACGGAAAGUUCCUUUGGCCUUAAAAAUCCGAGCAAAAGACAUUCUUUGGAUCAAAUGCGGUAAAUGCAACAGAUGGUUCCAUGCAUCUUGCCUUGGAACGACAGCUGCCAGUGUUCCAGAGAAAGACACUGCAUGGUAUUGUGCAAUUUGUAUUUAAGAAAUACGAAAGGAAUUUAAAUAUUGUAAAUAGUUGAUAACACUAUGAAUGUUUGAAGAUUCAUGAGGUCAGAAAAAAUGUCUCCUGUAGUAACAAAUUCUAUAGCUACAUCAUUGUUACAUUUUGGCCAGUACUAGCCUAGUCAGUCACUAGCCUAAGGCAUUUCUUGUUUAAUAAUAAAUGACGUCCUGUAGUAGAAGAUAAAGACUGGGAAAGAGAAAAUCCGUGAGGAUGGAAAAAUGUUGUGGGGCCAGGUUAGUAGAAAAGUCAACCAGGGCCUUUCUGUGUGGAGUUUGCAUGUUCUCCCCGUGUAUGUGUGGGUUCUCUUCGGGUUCUCCGGCUUCCUCCCACA